CCAACGCGACGAUCCCUAGCUGGUCUGAGAGGAUGAUCAGCCACACUGGAAACUGAGACACGGUCCAGACUCCUACGGGAGGCAGCAGUGGGGAAUAUUGCACAAUGGGCGAAAGCCUGAUGCAGCCAUGCCGCGUGUAUGAAGAAGGCCUUCGGGUUGUAAAGUACUUUCAGUUGUGAGGAAGGGGGUAACGUUAAUAGCGUUAUCUCUUGACGUUAGCAACAGAAGAAGCACCGGCUAACUCCGUGCCAGCAGCCGCGGUAAUACGGAGGGUGCGAGCGUUAAUCGGAAUUACUGGGCGUAAAGCGCAUGCAGGUGGUUCAUUAAGUCAGAUGUGAAAGCCCGGGGCUCAACCUCGGAACUGCAUUUGAAACUGGUGAACUAGAGUGCUGUAGAGGGGGGUAGAAUUUCAGGUGUAGCGGUGAAAUGCGUAGAGAUCUGAAGGAAUACCAGUGGCGAAGGCGGCCCCCUGGACAGACACUGACACUCAGAUGCGAAAGCGUGGGGAGCAAACAGGAUUAGAUACCCUGGUAGUCCACGCCGUAAA
rnacentral:rRNA from 2 species